GGAUAAUCCCAGGUGACUGGGGAAAGGUUAAGCCAGGCUGGUUGGCUUAGCCCCUCUAAAGUGGGGCCGAAAGGUUCAAUGGCGGAGGCAAGAUUCACCAGUUCCUCUGACCGCGUUCGCGCGCGGUCAGUAACGCGAAAAAGGAACUGAGCGAUGAGGGGCGAUUAGAAACCGCUCCGAAUUGAGUCAAGUAGCCCGGGCGAGUUUCGAUCCUGGGCAAAUCGCAGUUACCAGAGGGUACUCGGUUGCUACUGUGCAUCAGCACGGUCGGGCGACUCUGGCGGUCUCCGCGAGGGGGUCAGCCAAAGGAAAGACGCCGAAAGGCGGGACAAAGUGAGCGCACGCACCGGGGAGGACACGUGGUCUCGGCAGGACCCGUGAAAACCUUCCGAAACGUCGGCGAUGUUAAAAACGAUACCGCUGACCUGUCGAUGAAAGGCAACCUGAGAGUGAAGAGGCGAGACCCGUGGCACCGGGCGAACGCGCAGCCAAAAGCUGCGGCUGACCCGGCGCUAAGUGGUGAAGACGCGGAGACUGAGUCACAGACGUGUCUUUACCUGGUUCACAGGCCGGUGGCGCAACCACCAGCCGAAGCGAGCUGAAAAGCCUCACUCAAUAAUCCAGUUGCCGUAAGGCGCUGGACGGCCCUGCUACGAGGCCGGAGACUCCGCUUGCCGUGGAGAAUAGCGUCGGGAAGCUGACAGCCCUGCCUUGCGGGGCGCCCAAUGCCAGCACGGGAAAGAGAGUGUGGCGAACUCC
rnacentral:sRNA from 12 species